rnacentral:other from 1 species
GGAACGCUGCGGGGCGCGUCAGGAGCAGAUUAUUCUCCAGGGCCUAUAAGAUCAGCCAGGGAGCUGUCCCUGCCCGGGAUCGUGGUCCCGGACACACGGCGCCCACCUUACUUUUGUAGGGACCCGGCGAGAUCAACACCUGCUCCAACGGCUACCGCGGCACUUCA